rnacentral:rRNA from 1 species
ACUCCUACGGGAGGCAGCAGUGGGGAAUAUUGCACAAUGGGCGCAAGCCUGAUGCAGCCAUGCCGCGUGUGUGAAGAAGGCCUUCGGGUUGUAAAGCACUUUCAGUCGUGAGGAAGGUAGUGUAGUUAAUAGCUGCAUUAUUUGACGUUAGCGACAGAAGAAGCACCGGCUAACUCCGUGCCAGCAGCCGCGGUAAUACGGAGGGGUGCGAGCGUUAAUCGGAAUUACUGGGCGUAAAGCGCAUGCAGGUGGUUUGUUAAGUCAGAUGUGAAAGCCCGGGGCUCAACCUCGGAAUAGCAUUUGAAACUGGCAGACUAGAGUACUGUAGAGGGGGUAGAAUUUCAGGUGUAGCGGUGAAAUGCGUAGAGAUCUGAAGGAAUACCGGUGGCGAAGGCGGCCCCCUGGACAGAUACUGACACUCAGAUGCGAAAGCGUGGGGAGCAAACAGGAUUAGAUACCCUGGUAGGAUAGCG